rfam:Gossypium raimondii chromosome 4, whole genome shotgun sequence.
AAACCAUGUAUUGGCCAUUUUCUAAUUAACUCAUUGAAUCGCUCCCAUGCUUUAUAUAAUGUUUCAUCCUCAAAUUGUCGAAAAGACGUAAUAUCAUUCUUCAAUUU